ACAACCAUCUUCACAACUCUCCCAUGGAGCAUACUAAAUGGUGAGAUUCUUUACAGUAUCUAGGGAAAAUGCAGCAGGAUAGAAGUCCAAGUCAAUAUCCAAAAUGAAAUUGUCUUCAAAGACACAAUCAACCUUGAUGGAAUCAAUGACAGCCCAAGCACUUUUGCUAUGACUGUUUUCAUAAUCAGGACAUGGAAUGCAACAAUAUGGAAAUCUGAGUGAUGCCAAACCAAGCUACUGUCAGCUGGUGAGUGAAAGAAGCGUAAAGGAUUCAUUCCACAUUCAUGCUCAGAUGACAGAGAAUGAAGAAUAUAGCAGUAGUGGUGGAGAUGGAGGCAGUGAAGAGGACUUUUCUACAAACACCAAAGCUGUGAACAGAAAGACUAUCUGGUCGUCAAACUUUCAUACAUCAGCUUGGCCUAACCCAAGAUGAUCCACAGUGGUUUGGAGAGUGAUGAUAUGCAGUGAGAUGAUGUGCUAGACAUCACUUCAGAUGACUAUGACUUCCCUCACUAUCAUAUUGCAGAUUUCCCCCUUGACCUCUAGAGCCCAAGGGUGCACUGGGCCCAGGUGUCCAUAUGAACUUCUCUGUCCCAGCCGAGGGGCAGUCUGUCUUAAAGACAAAAGGUGCCGAAGCCAGAAUUUGAAAUUGAAUAAAUGUUCUGAGAAGCACAAUUGUUGUGACGGCAUCUUUCAAAUCUUUUUUUUUUUUUUUGGUGAGAUGAGUGAAAAUUUAUGUAUUUUAUCUUAAAGAUUCUCUGCUUAUAGGUUUCCCUCAGAGAAAUUCUGAGAUAUUUGCAAUUUCUUACUAGAUAAAACAUCAAAAUUUUGCCCUGAUUCCCUCUCCUUUCUCCCCUUCCUAUUUUUUUUUUUAGUUUUAAUUUAUUGGUUAAACUAAUGGUAGCAAUCUUUGAGGUAUGUCAAAGAAUGUACAUAGGUAUGUGUGUAUAUUAUGUACGUGGUAACAUAUUACUGAAGGAAACAUUUUAAUAAAGAUUUCUGCCAUAUUUUCAAAAACCUUCUGGCUUCAGAUUCUGGGGCAAGAAGCUGUAAGAAAAUUACUUGGCAGCUGUGUGCAUUAAUUGGAGCUCCAGUGGGGAUAUCUUUCAUUGCUACCACUGCUAUUCCUGAAAUGGUCAUCAGCAUUCCUGUUUAUGUUGACAGGAAGAUUCACUGCAUGGAUAAAGGAAAGCAAACCUCCAACACAAGAGAAAUUUGGCUAUCACAGGAGGAAUGACUUUGUCAGUGAUUGCAUCCUCAGUUAUUACUGCAGUUAGUAUUGCUUUUGGCAUCCCAAUUAUGCUGGCAUAUGUUAAUGUGACUGGCUAAUUUGUCUCUCUCAUGGAGGCUGCUGUGGUGUUAGCACAGUUGACCAAAAGGGAAGGAAAAUUCAAUCAAAUGAAGAUUAUUUUCCAAUCACAAUGUCAGAUGCCUGGGAAGCCCUCAAGGGUCCAAGCACUGGGGAAAGCAGCAAUGAAGGCCUGACUAGUGUAUUCAGCACCAGUGGAAGCCCUACAGAUGGACCCUGGAUUAGUCAUGUCCCUUACAGU
rnacentral:lncRNA from 1 species